UACGAAGGGGGCUAGCGUUGUUCGGAAUCACUGGGCGUAAAGGGUGCGUAGGCGGGUCUUUAAGUCAGGGGUGAAAUCCUGGAGCUCAACUCCAGAACUGCCUUUGAUACUGAAGAUCUUGAGUUCGGGAGAGGUGAGUGGAACUGCGAGUGUAGAGGUGAAAUUCGUAGAUAUUCGCAAGGACACCAGUGGCGAAGGCGGCUCACUGGCCCGAUACUGACGCUGAGGCACGAAAGCGUGGGGAGCAAACAGG
rnacentral:rRNA from 1 species